AUGAUGAUGUUUCUACGUACGGAUGUGGUGGUUUCCAGCCUUGUGGCUUCCGAGAUGUCCAUUCCAGACACUUACGGUAUGGGUACUAAGAUGGAUGCAUCUUCCUAUUGAGAUGCACGUACAAGCCAUGUAUGCCUGCAGCUACAGCACCUAUAGUAACUGUGACGGAGGCCAGCACCUUCCACAAGCCACCGAGCGAUUGCUAAAGUCCUCCAAAGAGCAAUUAAUAUCUUGCAGUCGACCCCUGACUCGAUGUUCAUGCCGGGACAUUCAUUGAAAUUGCCCUGAUUUGAUGGCAACUGUUGAAGGAAAUAAAAAUGACAGCUUUGGAGCAGUCACAUCAUGCAGCAUGAUGAGUUUUGGCAGCAGGAGACCCAUUCGCCUUCCUGAAGUCUGCUCUUCAGACACAGAGUCUCAACAAACAAGGACUGGUGGACCCUCCUCUACAGCUUCAUGCCUCUUGUUUAACCCAUACUGGAGAUCCCUCCUCUGGUGCUAGUGGGACAUAGAAAGUAUUGG